GCUUAUUCAUAAUUUGCCUCCCCUGUCCAAACAGCAGGGGAGGGCUCUUUGUUUUGUACCGGCUAAAAAUGGGCACCCUUCCCAUCUCGAUCUGGUGUGGUUUUACUAUUGUUUUGUGUUUAUUGUUUUGUUGAUCUUGGAGUUUCAAGGUGAGGGUUUUAAAAAGAUAAUCAACAUACAGGAUUAGGUAAUUAAGCUUUGUUGGGUUUGCAAAUAAUUUGGGUCUAGAAGUUGUUGCUACAGGGUGGGGAGGGUUUA
rnacentral:misc_RNA from 1 species